UUAGAGGGACGCCCCCCGCCCCCGGCCAGACGUCCGUCCUUCAGUUCUUCUCCAAACUGCGGCGCCACGCCAGCCUGGAGGGGGCGGGGCCUUACUUCAGGAAGUGGAAGUUUGACAGCAGUCAUCGUGCCGCCAGUCUGGACGCCAAAGGCUCUCCUAAAAGGAAGCCGUUCCACAGACAGAGAGCAGCCAGCGACACAACGGAUCAGACUGGGGAAGACUCCGCCCCCCUGGGGGAGACGAGGCCCCUCCCCCCCCUCCCCUGUCCUCCAGGCUGGGUCCAGCUGCUGUCUGCAGAGGCCCUGUCGCCCACCGCCACCCCGCCCUCACCCUCCAUCUCCUGCAGGGUGGAAGUGGAAGCAGUGGUGGAGGCCGAGAGCAGCCUAUCCAGAGCAGGGAGAGAGGGCCCCCCUCCAG